UGAGUCCGACACCUUCUUCAA
rnacentral:misc_RNA from 1 species